AAUAGAUACCCGGGUAGUCCUAGCUGUAAACGAUGAGCACUUAUCUGGGGAUCCUCCCAUAGGUUCCCGGAUGUAGCGAAAGUGUUAAGUGCUCCGCCGUGGGGAGUAUGAUCGCAAGGCUGAAACUCAAAGAAAUUGACGGGGGCUCACACAAGCGGUGGAGGAUGUGGCUUAAUUCGAGGCUACGCGAAGAACCUUAUCCAGGUCUUGACAUGUACGGAUUAACCCCGUGAAAGCGGGGCCACGAGCUUCGGCUGGAACGGUGCACAGGUGCUGCAUGGCUGUCGUCAGCUCGUGUCGUGAGAUGUCGGGUUAAGUCCCUUAACGAGCGAAACCCUUGUCUCUAGUUGCCAGCGAGUAAUGUCGGGGACUCUAGAGAGACUGCCGGUGUUAAACCGGAGGAAGGCGGGGAUGACGUCAAGUCCUCAUGGCCUUUAUGACCUGGGCUGCACACGUCCUACAAUGGCGUCUACAAAGGGAAGCAAGCUCGGCGAGAGUAAGCAAAACCCCGAAAAAGGGCGCCGUCAGUUCGGAUUGCAGG
rnacentral:rRNA from 1 species